rnacentral:rRNA from 1 species
GAUGAACGCUGGCGGCGUGCCUAAUACAUGCAAGUCGAGCGAACAGACGAGGAGCUUGCUCCUCUGACGUUAGCGGCGGACGGGUGAGUAACACGUGGAUAACCUACCUAUAAGACUGGGAUAACUUCGGGAAACCGGAGCUAAUACCGGAUAAUAUAUUGAACCGCAUGGUUCAAUAGUGAAAGACGGUUUUGCUGUCACUUAUAGAUGGAUCCGCGCCGCAUUAGCUAGUUGGUAAGGUAACGGCUUACCAAGGCAACGAUGCGUAGCCGACCUGAGAGAGUGAUCGGCCACACGGGAACUGAAACACGGUCCAGACUCCUACGGGAGGCAGCAGUAGGGAAUCUUCCGCAAUGGGCGAGAGCCUGACGGAGCAACGCCGCGUGAGUGAUGAAGGUCUUCGGAGCGUAAAAAUCUGUUAUUAGGGAAGAACAAAUGUGUAAGUAACUAUGCACGUCUUGACGGUACCUGAUCAGAAAGCCACGGCUAACUACGUG